CGACCGGCGCACGGGUGCGUAACGCGUAUGCAACCUACCUUUAACAGGGGCAUAACACUGAGAAAUUGGUACUAAUUCCCCAUAACAUUCGAGAAGGCAUCUUCUUGGGUUAAAAACUCCGGUGGUUAAAGAUGGGCAUGCGUUGUAUUAGCUAGUUGGUGAGGUAACGGCUCACCAAGGCAACGAUCAGUAGCCGACCUGAGAGGGUGACCGGCCACAUUGGGACUGAGACACGGCCCAA
rnacentral:rRNA from 1 species